rnacentral:lncRNA from 1 species
GGGACAUUAGGGUUAUAUACUGUUAUUGAUCAGUGGUUAGAGGGACAUUAGGGUUAUAUACUGUUAUUGAUUAGAGAGACAUUAGGGUUAUAUACUGUUAUUGAUUAGAGGGACAUUAGGGUUAUAUACUGUUAUUGAUUAGAGGGACAUUAGGGUUAUAUACUGUUAUUGAUUAGAGGGACAUUAGGGUUAUAUACUGUUAUUGAUCAGAGAGACAUUAGGGUUAUAUACUGUUAUUGAUUAGAGGUUAGAGGGACAUUAGGGUUAUAUACUGUUAUUGAUUAGAGGGACAUUAGGGUUAUAUACUGUUAUUGAUUAGAGAGACAUUAGGGUUAUAUACUGUUGUUGAUUAGAGAGACAUUAGGGUUAUAUACUGUUAUUGAUUAGAGGGACAUUAGGGUUAUAUACUGUUAUUGAUUAGAGAGACAUUAGGGUUAUAUACUGUUAUUGAUUAGAGGGACAUUAGGGUUAUAUACUGUUAUUGAUUAGAGAGACAUUAGGGUUAUAUACUGUUAUUGAUUAGAGAGACAUUAGGGUUAUAUACUGUUAUUGAUUAGAGAGACAUUAGGGUUAUAUACUGUUAUUGAUCAGAGAGACAUUAGGGUUAUAUACUGUUAUUGAUUAGAGAGACAUUAGGGUUAUAUACUGUUAUUGAUUAGAGAGACAUUAGGGUUAUAUACUGUUAUUGGUUAGAGGGACAUUAGGGUUAUAUACUGUUAUUGAUCAGUGGGACAUUAGGGUUAUAUACUGUUAUUGAUCAGAGAGACAUUAGGGUUAUAUACUGUUAUUGAUUAGUGGGACAUUAGGGUUAUAUACUGUUAUUGAUUAGAGAGACAUUAGGGUUAUAUACUGUUAUUGAUUAGUGGGACAUUAGGGUUAUAUACUGUUAUUGAUUAGAGAGACAUUAGGGUUAUAUACUGUUAUUGAUUAGAGAGACAUUAGGGUUAUAUACUGUUAUUGAUCAGAGGUUAGAGAGACAUUAGGGUUAUAUACUGUUAUUGAUCAGAGAGACAUUAGGGUUAUAUACUGUUAUUGAUUAGAGGGACAUUAGGGUUAUAUACUGUUAUUGAUUAGUGGGACAUUAGGGUUAUAUACUGUUAUUGAUUAGAGGGACAUUAGGGUUAUAUACUGUUAUUGAUUAGAGGUUAGAGAGACAUUAGGGUUAUAUACUAUUAUUGAUCAGAGAGACAUUAGGGUUAUAUACUGUUAUUGAUUAGAGGGACAUUAGGGUUAUAUACUGUUAUUGAUUAGAGGGACAUUAGGGUUAUAUACUGUUAUUGAUUAGAGAGACAUUAGGGUUAUAUACUGUUAUUGAUUAGAGAGACAUUAGGGUUAUAUACUGUUAUUGAUUAGAGGGACAUUAGGGUUAUAUACUGUUAUUGAUUAGUGGUUAGAGAGACAUUAGGGUUAUAUAUUGUUAUUGAUUAGAGAGACAUUAGGGUUAUAUACUGUUAUUGAUCAGAGAGACAUUAGGGUUAUAUACUGUUAUUGAUUAGAGAGACAUUAGGGUUAUAUACUGUUAUUGAUCAGUGGUUAGAGGGACAUUAGGGUUAUAUACUGUUAUUGAUUAGAGAGACAUUAGGGUUAUAUACUGUUAUUGAUCAGAGAGACAUUAGGGUUAUAUACUGUUAUUGAUCAGAGAGACAUUAGGGUUAUAUACUGUUAUUGAUUAGAGGUUAGAGAGACAUUAGGGUUAUAUACUGUUAUUGAUCAGAGAGACAUUAG